UCCAGACUCCUACGGGAGGCAGCAGUAGGGAAUUUUCGGCAAUGGGGGGAACCCUGACCGAGCAACGCCGCGUGAACGAAGAAGUUAUUCGUAAUGUAAAGUUCUUUUAUCAGGGAAGAAAGAGGAAUUUGACGGUACCUGAGGAAUAAGCCCCGGCUAACUACGUGCCAGCAGCCGCGGUAAUACGUAGGGGGCAAGCGUUAUCCGGAUUUACUGGGUGUAAAGGGAGCGUAGACGGCCAGACAAGUCUGAAGUGAAAAUCCAGCGCUUAACGUUGGAAGUGCUUUGGAAACUGCCGGGCUAGAGUGCAGGAGGGGCAGGCGGAAUUCCUAGUGUAGCGGUGAAAUGCGUAGAUAUUAGGAGGAACACCAGUGGCGAAGGCGGCCUGCUGGACGAUGACUGACGUUGAGGCUCGAAAGCGUGUGGAGCAAACAGGAUUAGAUACCCUAGUA
rnacentral:rRNA from 1 species